CCUACGGGUGGCAGCAGUGAGGAAUAUUGGUCAAUGGCCGGAAGGCUGAACCAGCCAUGCCGCGUGAAGGUCAGUGCCCUAUGGGCGUUAAACUUCUUUUGUGCGGGAGCAAUAAUGGUCACGUGUGGCCAGACGAGAGUACCGUACGCAUAAGCAUCGGCUAACUCCGUGCCAGCAGCCGCGGUAAUACGGGGGAGGCAAGCGUUAUCCGGAUUUAUUGGGGUUAAAGGGUGCGUAGGCUGUGAGGUAAGUCAGCGGUGAAAUGCCCCCGCUCAACGGGGUGAAGUGCCAUUGAUACUGCCUUGCUGGAAUGCGGAUGCCGUGGGAGGAAUGUGUGGUGUAGCGGUGAAAUGCAUAGAUAUCACACAGAACACCGAUUGCGAAGGCAUCUCACGAAUCCGCGAUUGACGCUGAUGCACGAAAGCGUGGGUAUCAAACAGGAGUAGAUACCCUUGUAGUC
rnacentral:rRNA from 1 species